rnacentral:lncRNA from 1 species
CCCCAUCAAAACCAAUCUUUGUAUCUAGAUCACCAUUGCUCUUUACCACAACAAGCUUGUCCAAAACUUUCAUAAGGUAGGACAAAGAUUUCAUCACGUGCAGUCUUGCUGUCUUCAAUAGGUUGAGCUGCCUCUCUUCCAUACAUUUUUGGAAAAAACAACUUCAUAAAAAUAUUCCCAUAUGAAAGCAAAACAAUGUAAUAGGACAUUUGGUUUAAAACGACUUUCUAAAGGUAAGUCAACAAACUUUACAAAAUCACAACAUGUUAUCUACACAGUAGCCAUCUAAAUUCAAUUAUGUUCUUUUUCU